rnacentral:sRNA from 1 species
ACAACAAGACGGGGCCGUCCACGCAGGCAA